AUUGUAACUGAAUACAAGAAUAAAAGUGUUCAAGACAAAUAACGGUGUAUGUGACGAAAUACCUUCCUCGCGAGAUCUCUGGCAGCGAUCCCAAAAUCGUACUCACAACGAGGGGUACAACAAAAGAAUAUAUGGAAAUGUUUAGCAAUCCAAAGAUUACUUCAAAACAAUGUUGGAAUUAUCCUCUUAUAAAAUAGCCAUGUAACCCUAAAGUUGCCUGCUAAUCGCGAUUGCAUUGUUGCCGCUUUAUUCCGAUCGCGAUUGGCUGUCUCGCGUUUGACUCGCUUCGUGUGCGAGAGUCGUGGUUUGACAGUUUAGUCGAGAGUAGCUGUCAUUGCGAUUGAAUUUUGACAGCUGUCAAAUUUGGUGAAAAGAGUCGAUCAAGAUUAUAUAUUUGUAAUCGAAAAAUAUACAAGAAAAAGACGGAAAUAGAUUGAUAAAUAGAGAGCGAGAGAGAGAAGGAGAGAGGGGCGGGAAAGGAAAAAAGAAAAGAAAUAUAAAUCCAGAGAUAAAUACAGAGAGAAAUAAAGAGAGAGAAAGGAAAA